rnacentral:rRNA from 1 species
CGAGUCUUAACUGGGCGAAUGAGUUGCAGGGUAUAGACCCGAAACCCGGUGAUCUAUCCAUGGGCAGGUUGAAGGUUGGGUAACACUAACUGGAGGACCGAACCGACUAAUGUUGAAAAAUUAGCGGAUGACUUGUGGAUGGGGGUGAAAGGCCAAUCAAACCGGGAGAUAGCUGGUUCUCCCCGAAAGCUAUUUAGGUAGCGCCUCGUGAACUCAUCUUCGGGGGUAGAGCACUGUUUCGACUAGGGGGUCAUCCCGACUUACCAACUCGAUGCAAACUGCGAAUACCGAAGAAUGUUAUCACGGGAGACACACGGCGGGUGCUAACGUCCGUCGUGAAGAGGGAAACAACCCAGACCGCCAGCUAAGGUCCCAAAGUCAUGGUUAAGUGGGAAACGAAGUGGGAAGGCUCAGACAGCCAGGAUGUUGGCUUAGAAGCAGCCAUCAUUUAAAGAAAGCGUAAUAGCUCACUGGUCGAGUCGGCCCGCGCGGAAGAUGUAACGGGGCUAAACCAUGCACCGAAGCUGCGGCAGCGAACGUAUCACUUAAAUUUGUUUGAGUGAAUAACGAUUGACGGAACGAAGUGACGUCAAUGCGUUAAUGAAAGUCGAGGCGAAAGCACGACAAAGCGAAUUUAAGGAUA